GAGUUUGAUUAUGGCUCAGGAUGAACGCUAGCGGCAGGCCUAACACAUGCAAGUCGAGGGGUAGAGUGCUUCGGCACUUGAGACCGGCGUACGGGUGCGUAACACGUGUACAAUCUACCUUUUACUAAGGGAUAGCCCGAAGAAAUUUGGAUUAAUACCUUAUAGUAUUAUUUUAUGGCAUCAUUAAAUAAUUAAAGCUACGGUGGUAAAAGAUGAGUACGCGUCCCAUUAGCUAGUUGGUGUGGUAACGGCAUACCAAGGCUACGAUGGGUAGGGGUCCUGAGAGGGAGGUCCCCCACACUGGUACUGAGACACGGACCAGACUCCUACGGGAGGCAGCAGUGAGGAAUAUUGGACAAUGGUCGGAAGACUGAUCCAGCCAUGCCGCGUGCAGGAUGACGGCCUUAUGGGUUGUAAACUGCUUUUAUACAGGAAGAAUAAGGUCUACGCGUAGAUUGAUGACGGUA
rnacentral:rRNA from 1 species